GGGGGCUUGGUGUAGCGGUAACAUGCGUCGACGAUGGAGGCGACCUGCUGAACCCGUGUGCAAUCAGGUCCUCAAUGAAGAGAAUUAGCGCAUGCGACGAGCCGGGAGUUCGAUUCUCUCAGUUCCCA